UUAGACCUCCUCAUCCUCCUCAUCCUUCUCCUGCUGGCCUUGCCAGGGCUCCGGGCGGCCGUGACCCUGCUGGAGUCCGGGGGGGACCUCCAGCCCCCCGGGGGGUCCCUGCGCCUCCUCUGCCGAGGGUCCGGGUUCAGUUUCGGCAGUUUUGGGAUGGCCUGGUAUCGCCAGAGACCCGGGCAGGGGCUGGAAUUUCUGGCAAGGAUCCACAGGGAUGGUGGUUUCAUCGAGUACGCGCCAUCGUUGAGGGGCCGGGUGACGAUCUCCAGGGACAACGGGCAGAGCUCGGUGACGCUGACCAUGAACAGCCUCAAGGACGAGGACUCCGGUUCCUAUUUCAGUGCCAAAUCCACGGGGGCUUACACGGCUGAUCCUGGUCGUAGUGAAAGUGACAGUUCUGGCCCCACCCCCUCUCGGAGUGCCCCCUGCCCCCCCAACUUUCGGCCAAUUUUGGCCAUUUCACCCAAAUCUCCCCUGGCUCCCAGGCCCUGA